rnacentral:lncRNA from 1 species
CGCAUUUCGACAAUACAUGUCUCUUCAGUGAUGCUCGUGGCCAAAAUAUUUGAAAUCCAAAGCUUAUAUAAAAGACGAAGAGCUAUAAUCCAAAAGGUCCAAAAAGUAUAGCCAAAUCCGUGAAAGGAAUCAGAGCUUUGCAUGAGGGAGAUACAUUCCUUAAUUUAUAAUAAUUUCUAAUAUUUUGUAACAGCAAAUUUUAAUAACACAAAAAAAUCCGUAUUUUCAUGCCAGUACCGAAGUACUGGCUACUGGGCUGGUGAUACCUCGGGG